CUACACAACACUGAUUUUAUUUCAGAGUUCGGGUUACUCCUAUGGAUAGUGAAUCAAAACCCUUGACCUCUCAAAAAGUUAAAAUUUAUAAUUUAUUUAAUAAACAAUUAAACUAUUUAUAAUUUAUUAAGAAUUAUAAGUAUAAUAUUAUAUAUGUGUGUGUGUUAUAAAUAUUAUAUAUGAUAUUUAUAAAUUAUAGUUUGUAGAUUGUAAUUAUUAAUAUUUAUAAUUGUGAAUUAUAAUUAUGUAAUUUAUAAAUAUCAAAUGCGUCAUCGCAUGGACACUAUAUAUAUAUAUAUAUAUAUAUAUAUAUAUAUAACAUGGAUACUAUUUAUAAUUUUAAAUGGUUUGGUUUGAUAUAUUUUCUAGAUUGGGAUUUAAUUUAUCAGUUGACGGAAAGAGGAGGAGUUGUUGGAUCCUUGCCUGCCUGUAAUUGAAUAGUAAUGGCCUUUUCCGGUUUGUUCCCUGUGUAUAUCUUUGGUGUCCUCCAUCUUCCUCGUUAUGGUUCCUUAAAUUAUUUUUGCUUGAAACUGCCAACUCAAGAAUGAAUUUUUCAUUUUCAUGCUUACAACGCCAACAAAACUACACUCCAUAUAGAUAUGGACUUCAGGUGCAGAGGUGCCGUUCGCCUCUGUGAAUCAUUGAAUUAAAAAAAGAAAGAAAGAGAAACACAGAAAUUAUUAUUAUAUAAAUUACAGGGCACGUGAAAUUAAUUAUAACAGAAACGAGAAAAUAAUACGUUAUACAAAUGAAGAAAUGGAAAUCAGAUAGCCCUAGACAACAGUGAAACUCUGUAAUUUGACUGGUUCGAAUAUGUAUUAUUACUAUUCUCAUCUUCAAACUGCAAAUACACCAAAUUUCUGAUCUCUUGCUUGCAGACCCAAGCUGCUAUUUUCUGUGCAUCUCUCGUGCCUUCUAAGAGCACGAACAUAUAAAAGAAAGCCAAAACCACCAAACAAAGAGUAUACAAAACUUUGAAAGAAUUGAAAAAUAUGUAGUAAGCCACCAAAGUCAGAUAAUACAUUUUCUGAUCAGAAAGAGAGAGAGAGAUGGAAAUUCUAGCUGAUAUAAGAAGAUUAAUGUGAGGAGGAAUGCAGAAUCUGUUGCAGAAGAUUCAGAUGCUGUUUUGUUGGGCAACAAAAGCAUGUAUCCUUUAGGUAUUUGUUUUGGUUCAUUGGAAAUUUGUUUGAGGAAACGGUGGCAUUUAAAGGGAUGAUAUUUUUCCUCACGC
rnacentral:lncRNA from 1 species